ensembl:lncRNA
AUGCCCCCAAUUUCUUUUUAAAUGACCCUGGGGGCAAAAAUACUUCAAUAUUGCCGCAGCAAGAAUUCAUCUCGUGUGAGUCGACUUCCCUGAAGCUACAAAGUCCCUUUCGCUGCCUUUCAGGAACCUCGAUCUCCUUAUUGUUUUCUACCAGUGGAUCUCUGUCAGCUGGUCUUUCUCCCUAUGCUCCGCCCCCUUUCCUACCCGUUGCCUGGGUUACCUCCUAUCAAUUUACCUACCUACCUUCUCUUCUUUAUAUUCUAUGAGAAUAAUCCCUGUUUGACUUCACAGUAGUUGUGAUAACAAGAACAUCUCGGCUGAGGAUCCGCUGGUUUGCACAGAGUGGCUCAUAGUGCUGUCUCAUGCUUACUGGAACCAACCUAGAACACUGGGAUCCUACAGGGACAACUGAGGAAACCUCAUCGUGUGGCAUGCAGGCAACGCAAGCCUGUUCACAGUCCAAUGCAAUGCCAGCAAGACUGAAUGGGAGUUUUUGUUAUGCCUGAGGACUCUUUCACCACUUCUGGCCUGGCAGUAUCUGCCAAACAGGCUAGGAAGAAGUGGACCAACUUAAAACAGAAAUAAAAGGUAAU